rnacentral:tRNA from 1 species
CGGCAUAUAGCGCAGUUUGGUAGCGCACCUGCCUUGGGAGCAGGAUGUCGCAGGUUCAAAUCCUGCUAUGCCGA